CUAGCUUGCUAGAAGAUGACGAGCGGCGGACGGGUGAGUAAUGCUUGGGAAUAUGCCUUAGGGUGGGGGACAACAGUUGGAAACGACUGCUAAUACCGCAUAACGUCUACGGACCAAAGGGGGCUUCGGCUCUCGCCCUUAGAUUAGCCCAAGUGGGAUUAGCUAGUUGGUGAGGUAAUGGCUCACCAAGGCGACGAUCCCUAGCUGGUUUGAGAGGAUGAUCAGCCACACUGGAACUGAGACACGGUCCAGACUCCUACGGGAGGCAGCAGUGGGGAAUAUUGCACAAUGGGCGCAAGCCUGAUGCAGCCAUGCCGCGUGUGUGAAGAAGGCCUUAGGGUUGUAAAGCACUUUCAGUAAGGAGGAAAGGUUAGUAGUUAAUACCUGCUAGCUGUGACGUUACUUACAGAAGAAGCACCGGCUAACUCCGUGCCAGCAGCCGCGGUAAUACGGAGGGUGCGAGCGUUAAUCGGAAUUACUGGGCGUAAAGCGUACGCAGGCGGUUUGUUAAGCGAGAUGUGAAAGCCCCGGGCUCAACCUGGGAACUGCAUUUCGAACUGGCAAACUAGAGUAUGAUAGAGGGUGGUAGAAUUUCAGGUGUAGCGGUGAAAUGCGUAGAGAUCUGAAGGAAUACCGAUGGCGAAGGCAGCCACCUGGGUCAAUACUGACGCUCAUGUACGAAAGCGUGGGGAGCAAACGGGAUUAGAUACCCCGGUAGUCCACGCCGUAAACGAUGUCUACUAGGAGCUGGGGUCUUCGGACAACUUUUCCAAAGCUAACGCAUUAAGUAGACCGCCUGGGGAGUACGGCCGCAAGGUUAAAACUCAAAUGAAUUGACGGGGGCCCGCACAAGCGGUGGAGCAUGUGGUUUAAUUCGAUGCAACGCGAAGAACCUUACCUACACUUGACAUACAGAGAACUUACUAGAGAUGGUUUGGUGCCUUCGGGAACUCUGAUACAGGUGCUGCAUGGCUGUCGUCAGCUCGUGUUGUGAGAUGUUGGGUUAAGUCCCGCAACGAGCGCAACCCCUAUCCUUAGUUGCCAGCGAUUCGGU
rnacentral:rRNA from 1 species